AGGUACGAGGACGCCGGGCCGGAGGUGCAGCUGAGCCAGGAGCUCCCCGAGUCCCUGAGGAGCCUCAGGCCUGAAGGGCACGUGCUCCGCGAUCGCUUCAAGAGCCUCCAGAGGAGGAACCUGAUCGAGCCUCGGGAAAGGGCCAAGUUCAAGAGGAGGUACCGGGUGAAAUACGUGGAAAAAAGGGCCUUCCGGGCAGUCACGGUGUGAUCGGAGACCCCCCAAUAAAGGACUGGGAUCUGCA